rnacentral:rRNA from 1 species
CUCAGAACGAACGCUGGCGGCAUGCCUAACACAUGCAAGUCGAACGAGACCUUCGGGUCUAGUGGCGCACGGGUGCGUAACGCGUGGGAAUCUGCCCUUCGGUUCGGAAUAACUCAGGGAAACUUGAGCUAAUACCGGAUAAUGACGUAAGUCCAAAGAUUUAUCGCCGAAGGAUGAGCCCGCGUAGGAUUAGCUUGUUGGUGGGGUAAUGGCCCACCAAGGCGACGAUCCUUAGCUGGUCUGAGAGGAUGAUCAGCCACACUGGGACUGAGACACGGCCCAGACUCCUACGGGAGGCAGCAGUGGGAAUAUUGGACAAUGGGCGAAAGCCUGAUCCAGCAAUGCCGCGUGAGUGAUGAAGGCCUUAGGGUUGUAAAGCUCUUUUACCCGGGAUGAUAAUGACAGUACCGGGAGAAUAAGCUCCGGCUAACUCCGUG